UCCGUAAACGAUGCCAACUAGCGAUCCGCCGGUGGAUUUUUAGCCCUGGUGGGUAGCUUCCCGGAAACGAAAGUCUUCCGGUUCCGGGGGAAGUAUGGUUGCAAAGCUGAAACUUAAAGGAAUUGACGGAAGGGCACCACCAGGAGUGGAGCCUGCGGCUUAAUUUGACUCAACACGGGGAAACUCACCCGGCCCGGACACCGUAAGGAUUGACAGAUUGAUAGCUCUUUCAUGAUUCGGUGGUUGGUGGUGCAUGGCCGUUCUUAGUUCGUGGAUCGAUUUGUCUGGUUUAUUCCGAUAACGAGCGAGACUCUAGCCUACUAAAUAGUAACGAGAUUAUCAAUGUCUCAGUUGCUUCUUAGAGGGAUUUUCGGUGUUUAGCCGCACGAGAUUGAGCAAUAACAGGUCUGUGAUGCCCUUAGAUGUCCGGGGCUGCACGCGCGCUACACUGGCGAAAUCAGCGUGCUGUAUCCAUUCUCGAAAGGGAUUGGUAAACCCAUGAAAAUUUGCCGUGCUUGGGAUCGGAAAUUGCAAUUAUUUUCCGUGAACGAGGAAUUCCAAGUAAGUGCGAGUCAUCAACUCGCUCUG
rnacentral:rRNA from 1 species